rnacentral:rRNA from 1 species
GAUGAACGCUGGCGGCGUGCCUAAUACAUGCAAGUCGAACGAAGAGAGAAGCUUGCUUCUCUUUUAGUGGCGAACGGGUGAGUAAUACAUAAGCAACCUACCUAUUUGACCGGGAUAACAGUUGGAAACGACUGCUAAUACCGGAUAGGUGCGCGGGGGACAUCCCCUGCACAUUAAAGCUGGGACACAGCACGAAUGGAUGGGCUUAUGGCGCAUUAGUUAGUUGGCGGGGUAACGGCCCACCAAGACGAUGAUGCGUAGCCGACCUGAGAGGGUGACCGGCCACACUGGGACUGAGACACGGCCCAGACUCCUCCGGGAGGCAGCAGUAGGGAAUUUUCGGCAAUGGGCGCAAGCCUGUCCGAGCAACGCCGCGUGAGUGAAGAAGGCCUUCGGGUUGUAAAGCUCUGUUGUAAGGGAAGAAUGGCCAAGAGAGGGAAUGCUCUUGGAGUGACGGUACCUUACCAGAAAGCCACGGCUAACUACGUGCCAGCAGCCGCAGUAAUAC